CAAGCAAAACAGGCAAGGGCGGGUCAUAGCACCAGGUCCCGCCAGGAGGGAAGAAGCAAAAAUGAAAGCGGGGGGGGGGGUGGAGGGGGGGGGGGUCAAUUGUCCUGGCUGUAAACAAGGAUCAGCCACCUUUGGCCAUCAGGGGAUGUGAGGUCCUGUGCCCAGAACUCGUGAUGGCUGACUCAUGGGGGAGGCAGCACGCGGUGGAGGGAAGCAGGAGGUCUGGGCAGACGGCGACAGAGGCUCAAGUCUUGACUCUGCACCAGGGGCUGGAGGUCACUGCCCAGGGGUAAGGAGGCACCCCACACACACGCUUGGAAGACCAGCCCCCAAGCCUCGGGACCUCCAGGACCGGAAGCCCUGGCCACCCUCUCGGGAGGAUGUGGGGAAAAUAGUUCACAUUCUUUUCUGACGAUCCCACAGCCAGGAAACCAGACAGGGCUGAUUUCUCAAUCACGUUACUUUGCCACAUUACAUUUUCAAUUAAUCACCUUGUUACACUUCCAAUAGCAAAAGUUUAGUAGUAGGCGAAUUUUCUUGUUUGUCUGUUUUUUGUUUAUUAUUAUUCUUGACGUAAUGAAAAUGCUCUCAUAACGAUUAAAGUGAUGAAUGUACAAGUUUGCGAUUAUACCAAAGA
rnacentral:lncRNA from 1 species